UCAUAGUUCUUUGAGUGACCUACUGCUUAGUUGAAGACAUUGUAGUGCUUUGGAUUUUGGUCACUGCAUAAUUAUUAUCAGAAGGCUCGUUAUAAUUAUCAUUGUCGUUGUUCUGUUGUCACAAAGUAUGAGGUUAACUCGUUUAAUAUACAAGAUCAGGUAAAGAAAGAUAAGAUAAUCAUCACUAAUUAAAUUUGUAAAAAGAAAUUAAUUUUGGCAAUUAAUUCAGCAUACAACAAAAAAAAAAGUUUUCAGUGUAUCUGACUAGUCUCUAGACAUUUGUUUUACUUUCAUUACUCUUAUCAAGUCCUGCUUCUUCUCUCUUUCAUUACUUUGAGUAAGUUUCUUCUUAUUGUAUUCAUUUAUUAAACAAAUGAUAGUGAUUUGGCAUCCAUGUUUCUUAAUUUUUUGGGUAAAAAAUUAAGUGCUUUUGUACUAAAAAACAAAUUAAAUAUGAUAUUCAUGCUAUUUAAAACUAUGUUCGUAGCAAACUUGGUAUAGUUCAAUAGAAAAUUAAAAUUCCAUCACCCUAUUUAUGAACAUGUCUAUCCCUAGAUAUAGAAGUUAAAUUGGUGGUAUUACAGUCAAUACGAUUACGCCUAGAAAGAAAAUUAUAGCAUAAAGCAUCAAAGGGCAAAACUGGCAUGAUAUAUGAUAUUGCUAAUUUCUAAGUGCUCUUUAAACUAAUUUUCUAAGGAGAGAAAAGUGAACAAAAAAUAAUUAACAAUUUUGAGAAUACAUAAAAACAUUGAAUUUCUACAUUUUCAUCUCUGCUAACGUAAUGUUGCCAUCAGCAAUUGGAUUUAGUAUUCUUAGAUACUCGGCCGAAAAAUUAAACUUUCUACCAUUCAAUCUCCACCUGAAACAAAAGAUCAAGUAAAAGAUAGAUAGUUAGAAUUGCAUUAUGCAAGCAAUCAAGUUUUACACAACAAUUACAAGAACAAUACAACCUCCUAAUAAUUGAUGAAAAUAGAUUAAAAACUUCCCAAUCAAAUCAAGUCCUUUCCAAAAUGGGCUUCUCUCUUUUUAUUUAAAAAAUGGUUCCUACCAUGAAAAUUGAGGCUUCAUGAAGAACAAGAACAGAAAAAGAGAUUUUAAGAGAUGGGUUUUGGGUUUAAGAGGAAAUUUUGAAAUGGGUCAAUUUGAAUUUGAUAAUUUGAUAAGGAAAUAAGAAGAGGAUGGAACUGUUAUUGGGAGAGCAAAAUAUUUGAAAUAAGGAAAAGUGUAGAUAAGGCAAGU
rnacentral:lncRNA from 1 species